GAAGCAAGCCAGACCGCCGCUGGUGCAAGCGUGGAAACACGGCACUGGAGGAAGGUCCGGACUGCAUAGAGCAGCGUAGCAGCUAACGGCUGCCCGGCGUAAGCCGAGGAUUAGAGCAACAGAGACGAGUCGAGGUGGGUCUAGGCCCGCCUCGGGUGAAACGGGCAAUCUCUACGCGCAGCAACACCAAGUAGGCCAGCGUUGAUGCGGCUCGCAGAGCUGGCGGGUAGGUGGCACCGAGCCGGGCAGUGAUGUCCGGCCCAGAGGAAUGGCGGUCACAGGGUCUGGCCCGCAAGGGUCAGGUCUUGCACAGAAUCCGGCCUAUCGGCUUGCUUCACAC
rnacentral:RNase_P_RNA from 1 species